rnacentral:rRNA from 1 species
UACGAAGGGGGCUAGCGUUGUUCGGAAUUACUGGGCGUAAAGCGUGCGCAGGCGGCUUCUCAAGUCAGGGGUGAAAGCCCAGAGCUCAACCCUGGAAUUGCCUUUGAGACUGAGUGGCUUGAGUACGAGAGAGGUGAGUGGAAUUCCCAGUGUAGAGGUGAAAUUCGUAGAUAUUGGGAAGAACACCGGUGGCGAAGGCGGCUCACUGGCUCGUAACUGACGCUCAUGCACGACAGCGUGGGGAUCAAACAGG